GGCUGUGGUCCAGAAUGAUGAGGGCUCAGCACCGAGCCCUCUGCUGGCCGGAAAUGGUGCUGAGUUCUGAUGACGGUGUGGGGGGGGAGGGUCCACGACGCAACAGGGGGCACGUGGAAACCACAGCGUCAGGAAGACGAUGCCCAAGUGCUCAGGAGCCCACCCUGGGGCACCCGCUGCCGCGCCAUCCAUCUCACACAUGGCUUAGUUCACUCCAUGACGGUUGUGUCAGGGAGAGAAUGACUCGGGGCCCAUGUUGGGGAGAAGAGGCACUGCCCCGGAUUGGUCUCCAGGAUGGACUGGGCCUGCGCUCAGGACCCCGUCGUGUCCCCACUGCCUCUCAGGAGCCAGAUUUCCUCUUUGCUUGGAAGGAGGACUUGGGAGUCCACGAAGGUGCCACGCGCUAGUCUUCGGUGCUUCCUGUGAAAAUGAGGCGACUCUCUCCACCUGGCUGCCUCAUUCCCAGGCUCCCCUAGUCUUCUGUGCCUGGCACAGUGCUGCUAUGAGAACAAAAAAUAUGGCGAAGGCUGCUGCCGAGCGCCACCAACAGCAAGGCAGGCGCGUGAAAGUAUAUGGUGUGUCCUCAUCCACCUCACUCUCCGGACCUGGCUCUGUUCAACGUCUGCCUCUUCCCCAAAGUCAAAACGGCCAUUAAAAAAUCACAUUUUGCAUGGAUUCGGGACACCAGGGCAGCCGUGAGAGCACAGCUGAAGACACUCACGAAAGAGGACCUGCGGAACUGCUUCAGACGGAGGCAACAAAGAUGGGACGAGUGCGUUCAAAGUGAGGGAAGCAUUGCGAGGGAGAUGAACGUCAGUGUGUCGUCUGCUGUAGCAGACGUGUAGAAUUUACACACUCACCAUAUCUUGGAACCACACCGCCUGUGAGCUAUAUAUACGAGAAAAGAGAAAUGGCAGUAACUACUCCCCAGAUGGGUGGAUCUAUUUGCUGGUAGACGGUGCGGAGAUUUCAGGAUAAAAUGCUCCGUUCCUUUGUCACUGGUUUGAACUGGAAUCGGUGCAGCAGUCAAAAGCCCACAGC
rnacentral:lncRNA from 1 species